CAGCAGCCGCGGUAAUACGUAGGGUGCAAGCGUUGUCCGGAAUUAUUGGGCGUAAAGAGCGUGUAGGCGGCUCGACAAGUCCGCUGUGAAAGUCCAGGGCUCAACCCUGGAAUGCCGGUGGAUACUGUCGAGCUAGAGUCCGGAAGGGGCGAGUGGAACUCCUGGUGUAGCGGUGAAAUGCGCAGAUAUCAGGAAGAACACCAAUGGCGAAGGCAGCUCGCUGGGACGUGACUGACGCUGAGACGCGAAAGCGUGGGGAGCGAACAGGAUUAGAUACCCCAGUAGUCCCUGUCUCUUAUAC
rnacentral:rRNA from 1 species